GUAGGUGAACCUGCGGAAGGAUCAUUACAGAGUUCAUGCCCUCACGGGUAGACCUCCCACCCUUGUGUAUCUAUACCAUGUUGCUUUGGCAGGCUGCUGCCCCCCUCGGGGGACAGCCUCGGCGCCCUCGGGCCUGAGAGUCGCCUGCCGGAGGAAAAACAAACUCUGAAUGUUAGUGUCGUCUGAGUACUAUAUUUUAAUAGUUAAAACUUUCAACAACGGAUCUCUUGGUUCUG
rnacentral:misc_RNA from 1 species